rnacentral:rRNA from 1 species
UACAGAGGUCCCAAGUGUUGUUCGGAUUCACUGGGCGUAAAGGGUGCGUAGGUGGUUAGGUAAGUCCGAUGUGAAAUCUCCAGGCUCAACCUGGAAAUGGCAUUGGAUACUAUUUAGCUUGAGGAGUGGAGGGGGGACUGGAAUUCUCGGUGUAGCAGUGAAAUGCGUAGAUAUCGAGAGGAACACCAGUGGCGAAGGCGAGUCCCUGGACACUUCCUGACACUGAGGCACGAAAGCUAGGGGAGCAAACAGG